UUCCAUCAAGGAGAAGUUCUGUUAGAGCAGGCAAUGUACCCAGCUCUUUUGGCAAAUGGUAGAGACUAUAACAAAAAUUCAAGUUCAAGUACUCCAAGUGCUUCAAUUGGCCAAUUGACAAGUCAAUUUCAGCCAAUUUACGACAAUCUUCAAUAAUCAAUCUCUCCAAUGUCAGGAGUCCAGAGAAAUCGGGAGUCUUGGACAAACGCUUACAUCUUGAAAGGUUAAGAACUUUUAAUUUCUUGGCUCUAUGUAGUGCCAACAAAACAAACGUCAAUAAAUCUGUUAAAUCAAGAGAAUGUCCACACUCAUAAAGAAGACUUCUCUAGAGCUAAGGGUACCUUAAUAUGUCUCCAUCCAUCCCAAUCAUGAGUUAAUUUACUUCCUGAAAAAUCAAGAAUGACUAGAUUACUCAAUGAAAACUUGCUCAACUU
rnacentral:lncRNA from 1 species